rnacentral:rRNA from 1 species
AUACAGGGUGACAGCCCCGUACACAAAAAUGCACAUACUGUGAGCUCGAUGAGUAGGGCGGGACACGUGGUAUCCUGUCUGAAUAUGGGGGGACCAUCCUCCAAGGCUAAAUACUCCUGACUGACCGAUAGUGAACCAGUACCGUGAGGGAAAGGCGAAAAGAACCCCGGCGAGGGGAGUGAAAAAGAACCUGAAACCGUGUACGUACAAGCAGUGGGAGCACGCUUAGGCGUGUGACUGCGUACCUUUUGUAUAAUGGGUCAGCGACUUAUAUUCUGUAGCAAGGUUAACCGAAUAGGGGAGCCGAAGGGAAACCGAGUCUUAACUGGGCGUUAAGUUGCAGGGUAUAGACCCGAAACCCGGUGAUCUAGCCAUGGGCAGGUUGAAGGUUGGGUAACACUAACUGGAGGACCGAACCGACUAAUGUUGAAAAAUUAGCGGAUGACUUGUGGCUGGGGGUGAAAGGCCAAUCAAACCGGGAGAUAGCUGGUUCUCCCCGAAAGCUAUUUAGGUAGCGCCUCGUGAAUUCAUCUCCGGGGGUAGAGCACUGUUUCGGCAAGGGGGUCAUCCCGACUUACCAACCCGAUGCAAACUGCGAAUACCGGAGAAUGUUAUCACGGGAGACACACGGCGGGUGCUAACGUCCGUCGUGAAGAGGGAAACAACCCAGACCGCCAGCUAAGGUCCCAAAGUCAUGGUUAAGUGGGAAACGAUGUGGGAAGGCCCAGACAGCCAGGAUGUUGGCUUAGAAGCAGCCAUCAUUUAAAGAAAGCGUAAUAGCUCACUGGUCGAGUCGGCCUGCGCGGAAGAUGUAACGGGGCUAAACCAUGCACCGAAGCUGCGGCAGCGACGCUUAUGCGUUGUUGGGUAGGGGAGCGUUCUGUAAGCCUGUGAAGGUGUGCUGUGAGGCAUGCUGGAGGUAUCAGAAGUGCGAAUGCUGACAUAAGUAACGAUAAAGCGGGUGAAAAGCCCGCUCGCCGGAAGACCAAGGGUUCCUGUCCAACGUUAAUCGGGGCAGGGUGAGUCGACCCCUAAGGCGAGGCCGAAAGGCGUAGUCGAUGGGAAACAGGUUAAUAUUCCUGUACUUGGUGUUACUGCGAAGGGGGGACGGAGAAGGCUAUGUUGGCCGGGCGACGGUUGUCCCGGUUUAAGCGUGUAGGCUGGUUUUCCAGGCAAAUCCGGAAAAUCAAGGCUGAGGCGUGAUGACGAGGCACUACGGUGCUGAAGCAACAAAUGCCCUGCUUCCAGGAAAAGCCUCUAAGCAUCAGGUAACAUCAAAUCGUACCCCAAACCGACACAGGUGGUCAGGUAGAGAAUACCAAGGCGCUUGAGAGAACUCGGGUGAAGGAACUAGGCAAAAUGGUGCCGUAACUUCGGGAGAAGGCACGCUGAUAUGUAGGUGAAGCGACUUGCUCGUGGAGCUGAAAUCAGUCGAAGAUACCAGCUGGCUGCAACUGUUUAUUAAAAACACAGCACUGUGCAAACACGAAAGUGGACGUAUACGGUGUGACGCCUGCCCGGUGCCGGAAGGUUAAUUGAUGGGGUCAGCGCAAGCGAAGCUCUUGAUCGAAGCCCCGGUAAACGGCGGCCGUAACUAUAACGGUCCUAAGGUAGCGAAAUUCCUUGUCGGGUAAGUUCCGACCUGCACGAAUGGCGUAAUGAUGGCCAGGCUGUCUCCACCCGAGACUCAGUGAAAUUGAACUCGCUGUGAAGAUGCAGUGUACCCGCGGCAAGACGGAAAGACCCCGUGAACCUUUACUAUAGCUUGACACUGAACAUUGAGCCUUGAUGUGUAGGAUAGGUGGGAGGCUUUGAAGUGUGGACGCCAGUCUGCAUGGAGCCGACCUUGAAAUACCACCCUUUAAUGUUUGAUGUUCUAACGUUGACCCGUAAUCCGGGUUGCGGACAGUGUCUGGUGGGUAGUUUGACUGGGGCGGUCUCCUCCUAAAGAGUAACGGAGGAGCACGAAGGUUGGCUAAUCCUGGUCGGACAUCAGGAGGUUAGUGCAAUGGCAUAAGCCAGCUUGACUGCGAGCGUGACGGCGCGAGCAGGUGCGAAAGCAGGUCAUAGUGAUCCGGUGGUUCUGAAUGGAAGGGCCAUCGCUCAACGGAUAAAAGGUACUCCGGGGAUAACAGGCUGAUACCGCCCAAGAGUUCAUAUCGACGGCGGUGUUUGGCACCUCGAUGUCGGCUCAUCACAUCCUGGGGCUGAAGUAGGUCCCAAGGGUAUGGCUGUUCGCCAUUUAAAGUGGUACGCGAGCUGGGUUUAGAACGUCGUGAGACAGUUCGGUCCCUAUCUGCCGUGGGCGCUGGAGAACUGAGGGGGGCUGCUCCUAGUACGAGAGGACCGGAGUGGACGCAUCACUGGUGUUCGGGUUGUCAUGCCAAUGGCACUGCCCGGUAGCUAAAUGCGGAAGAGAUAAGUGCUGAAAGCAUCUAAGCACGAAACUUGCCCCGAGAUGAGUUCUCCCUGACCCUUUAAGGGUCCUGAAGGAACGUUGAAGACGACGACGUUGAUAGGCCGGGUGUGUAAGCGCAGCGAUGCGUUGAGCUAACCGGUACUAAUGAACCGUGAGG